rnacentral:rRNA from 1 species
GACAUUUGGUAGAGACUGUUGAAGCCACCUGGUCCCAGCAGACCCCAAAAGGUGGCCACAUUCACUGGUGCUGGGGCAAGGUCAUUAAGGGUGAAGCCUGGUGCCAGAUGUGU